CGCCUGCCGGGUGGCGGAGCCGCUGACGACGACGGCGUCGGCCGGGUCGGUCACCGGCUCGGUCUCGGCCUCGGUCGCCGAGGAGGCGC
rnacentral:tRNA from 1 species